rnacentral:misc_RNA from 1 species
AUCCCUCGUCAUUCUCUCUCCCGUUUUCUCUCUCGUUUUCUCCUUUUCAAGCUCCUUUUGCCUUUUCCUCCUCUUUGUUUGUCCUUUUCAGGCUUAGCUCGUCCAUCUACGUGUCUCAACUCUCCCCCGACUCUGCAAGACUCUCUCCCUGACUGGCCUCUAUCCCCCCACUCUCGUCGUUUUACUUCUCCUUUUCCUUCUCCAUCUGUCGGUGUGAUUCUUUGUUCUUCGUUUGUCUUUUUCUUCGCGCUCAAUACCGUUGUGAUUUUCGGUUUUUGUGCUUGUUCUCCCCCCACCUACCCACCCACACACCCACCCUCUCCCCCUUUUCUGUGCCUUCUGCCGUUGUCUGCUCAGCUGCAUACGUGUGUAUCGGUGUGCACGCGCAGGGUCGUCGGAAGAAGAAACGAAAAUAAGGAAGAGAGAGAAGGAAACGUCGGUGGUUUUUUGUCGUGUUUUUCUCUACUCCGCCACUUCCACGCGUCUUCAUUUCGGUGUUUUUCUCCCGUUUUUUGUUUGUCUUCCGCUCUCGUUCCUUGAGAGUCUUUCUUUCUGUUUUGUUGAUGGUGUGCGGAGCGUCCUACCGUGUUCCCCCACCCCUCACUCUCCCUUCUCUUCGCUCGUGUGAACGUCCGCGCGCGUAGCCGAGCGAAGAUCUCUCUUGGGAGCAAACGAAAAGCACGAAGGAACCAGCAAGAGAAAGAAAAAGAGCAAGCAAGCAGGGCACGCGCCGCCUAGGGUGGUCCACGCCUUGCGGUUGCUUUUUUGUUUUCUUUUUCGAGGCACUUUUUUCUCAUCCUUCUCACAAUACGUGUUCUGAUACGGUUGCUCACUUCUGUUGCCGCUACAGUUACCCCCUUUCCCCCUGCCUUCCAUUUUCUUCUUUGAUCGACAUUGGCGCGGUCGGGCAUCACUGACAUCACUAGUCACACCAGAGUUCAUUCUCUCGAAGCCACAAACAGGAAAGACGCAACCGCGCCACGCCACUCGCUCCUUCCGCGUACUCUUGUACUCGCAUCCAGGUUCUCAUUGAUACUGUGGCAUCGCACGACGCUCCUUCACCGGCAGCAGAGCAGAAGCAAAAGGAAAAAGGGAACCACAACAUCCAGAGGGAAAACAGCAACCAAGUGAGAGGGUCUCAACGCAAGUGACACGGCGAGAGCUUAACGGCAACACGAAUGGAAAGAAACGCAACCGACAGCCCCCUCUCUCGCACGUAGACGCGCAUACGCACCAAGAAAACACGCCGCCCACGAAGACAUUCAUCGCUCUCGCUCCCUCGCCCGUCAGUGCUGCUCUCCUCUGGUUCACUUGUACGGGUCUACCUUCAUUCGUCUCCGCGGGCCAUUCUUCUUCUUCUCUUGCGGUCUUUUCCCACUGAGAAGAGGUCAGAGACACACAUACACGCGCGCACGCACGCCAAAACGAGUGUCUAGUCCGCAGUCAACCACCGAAAGCGAAAGAGGGGAAAGCCUUUUUUUUGGUGUUGCUGUUGAAAACGGUAAGGAAAAGGGAGAACAGGACGGUGGGUAGAGAGAUCAAGACAACGUCGUAUCACGCACAUCGCUCAGCACACCCCCACCUCCACCAUUACUCGAAAAGGAAUCUGUGGCCGCGUGCUGGCGCCUGCGUGUUAGCUGUCUUUGCCUGCUGCGGUGGCUCCUCUCAACGCUAUAACUCAAAGAGCUAGCGCCUCACUCAUUGGCAACCACCACGCCACGCGGCUCUUCUGAGACGACGAAAAAGGCGUAGGCGUUUAUACGCCUCUCCUUUGCGUUAGCGUGUUCAACUUGCGCGCCCCCCCACACGCACACAUCACCCCUCCGCCACCACCACACGCCACACAGCCACUCCCAUUCGGAAUUCGUUUGUUUUUUUUGCGUUUCUUCUGUCUUUUUCCCUUUUUCUCUAGCAAUCCUCGAGACGAGAAAGGUACAAUUAAACCCGAUCAGCUCUCUGCAAGUCCUCUGUUUUUGUUUGUCUGCUCUACCUUGUCAUCUUUUUCUGUGUGUGCGUGUGUCAGUGCGUUUGGCGCAGUUCCCGUGAGUGUUACCGUUUGGAGUGGUGUAGCAGCCCCCUGUUUCACUUUGCGCUUUCCUUCCCAAAACACCUCGUCUUCCUUGUGUCCCCUCUCAUCUCGAUUUCGCGCGUGCACUCUCAGUCUCCCGCCAUCGCUUUCUUUGUCGUUGGUGUUUCUUUGGCAGCUCUCGAGUUAGCGUUUUGUGUGUGCGUGUGUGUGUGUGUGUGUGUGUGUUUGCGUGUGUAUGUACGCCCACAUCUACCCAUUUCCUUUCCCUCCAUUUCUUUGUUGUUUGUUUGUUGUUUUGGCUUGAUCUCUCCGCUCCACUCCCACCCCCUUGUCUUUCGACUUCUCUCUGCGAGAAUCAAAGGGGCUGUGUACAUAGUAUACUGCAGAUAUACAUCAAUACCCUUGUUUUCUGUGUAAUUUACCGAAGUCGUUUUUCUUGUUCGAUUUUUCGACGUGCACGUCUUUUCUCCACCCCCUCCUCUCUCUAGCCGUUCUUGUUUUCUUGUUGGGGCGUGUGCGCUUCCUGUUUCCUCUUUUUACUUUGUGCACUCUCUCUCUUUUUCUUCGUCUCCCCCUUCGCUUUCUUACGGUUUCUGCGUUGUGUGCGUCUGUGCGUGCACGUCUCUGUGCUUCUUUGAUUCCCUCAUUUUGUUCGACACCUUGUUCAGGCGCUCCCUCGCCUUGUUUUUUCUCCGUCUGUGUUUUUGCGUUGUUAACUUUUCGUUUUCCUUCGUUCUUCUCCGUCUGUCGUGAGUGUUACCUCGGUGUUGCUGUUGUUCCUUCCCUUCAGUACCCCCCCUUCAUUCUUCUCGUGCCUUCCCCCCCCCACUUCCUCUCUCUCGGUAGCGUGUGUUUGUUCUCUCCUGUUUGCUGCGGUUCUCGUGCUUGGUUUGUGACUCCUUCGUUUUCGUGCGUGUAUUUUGUGCUUGUGUGUGUGCUUUCCGCUUGAUGUUUUUUUGCUAGUUUGAAACUUUCCGCGCCUCAUCUCUCUUCUUUCACUCGUUCUCUUUGCGUGAGUGCGCGUUGGACCUGCUUCUCCUUUUCUCUCCACCCCUCCCCCUCCUCCCACGCAGUAAAUCAAGCCCCACCACCGCACUGAUCUCCUGACAUCUCUUUUUUGUUGUUGUUCUCUUUCAGUGAACCAUUGAUUAGCUUACUUGCCGUCCCCCCCCCUCCCCUCUCCCGACUCGCUAAUCUUUUCCAGAUUGAGCUCUCUUUCUUUCCUUGCUCUUCCUUCCUAUCUCUAUCUUUUUUGUUUCGGUUUGGUUUGGGUGUUGUCGUUUGCUUCGCUGGUCUUGUGAACCCUCGUCAUCGUUUUUCGUGUUCCGGUUUCGUCGGCACCAUAAACACACACACACACCACCCACCCCCUCGGAGCCCAUCGUUCUUCCCCUUCAACUUUAAGAUCGUACGGGUUUUACUCCAUCGCACACCCAGACUUCCACAGACCAACAAACCACAACUCUCGCUCUCUCCCUCGCGUGAUCUUAACGCACCGACCUCACGCCACAGAAGCGGAGUGCAUCGUGAAAUAAACAAGAAGUAAACAGAAAGAUGGCGCAACUGUUUGUCGGCCAGCUCCCUUUCAGCAAGUUCUUCCCCGACGAUCUGCUGGACCUCUUCCGGCCAUACGGGAAUGUGAUUGCGCACCAACUGCACAUCCACCAAGGCAACGCCUUUGUCACCUAUCCCACAACGGACGAAGCAGACCGCGCCAUCCAGGCGCUGCACAGCAAGUGCUCCCUCGGCACACGCAGCCAGCCGAUCCAAGUGAUGUACUCGAAGGGGACACGCCUCAUUUCGGCCUUUGGUCUGCACCACCGCUCCGUCUGCCUCUCCCGCAACAAGGAUCGCCAGCGGAGCAAGGAGGCGAGUGCGACAGCCGGUGGUGCCACAGACGAUGACGCGCUGCUGAACGAGGUAUCCAACCUCAACUCCUCAUCCUCUAAGAACGUCAUUCUCACGCCACUUAUGUGCACAGCUGGUGGUGCUGGUGGCAGCGAGGAGCCGAAUACGAGCUUUACCACGCUUUUCAGCAGCUACGGCGACCUUAGCGGAAAGAGCGAAAUCUCUGGUGAAGAAGAUGGCCGCCAGCCCAACGGUGUACACGGCGCCGUAGCUUCUUCGAACGCCUUUCUCCAACAGCAGAAGCCUCCGUCGUAUCCGGUCGGUGCAGACCCGCUGGUAUACAGUAGCGCUAUGGGGUGGCAAAUAGCUCGUCAAUCACUGGUGGCGAGCACAGCUACAACUCCGCUGACUUCGGUGAUUAGCAACGGCGCUACCACGCCCAUGUCGGACUUGAUCAACCCCUCCGCUCCUGCGCCUGCACCGACGCCUGUGACAUACGUCAUGAUGCCGAACUCCGGCAAUUCGAUGCCAUGUGUGAUGCCGCUGUACUACGCCCUUCCCGCCUCCACAAGUGCGGCGAUCGCGCAGCAACAACAACGGCAGCAACAGGCCUUAGCUUCGGCGUUGGCGUCUUACAAUGCGCGUGCGGCCCCAGUCCAGAUCGCAUAUCUCCCCAUCACGCCGCAGUAGGUUCGAGGCUGCAGGCACACGUGCCCUUCGCUCACCGCCCUUGCUUGAUUCCAUCCUCUUUGCCCUGGCACACACGCAUUGAUGGCUGCGGUCCUCUUGCUUGUCAGACGGUCUGCCUAAGUGUGUGUGCUUGCGUAUAUAUCAGUAUUUGUGUGUACGCGUGCCGGUGUCUGAUCUGAUGUGCGUUUUUCUCCAUGGGGAUCGGCGUGCUGGGUCAAAGCAAAGCCUCCCUUUCUGUGAGUGCGCGCGUUUUGUGGGGGUAUGGGGGAGUGCGGUUGCGGAUGACGGUUGCCGGAUGCCUCCUUCCCCCUCCUCCCCUCAUCUCGUUCGUCUCUGCUUCUCCCUCUGCUCUCAGCGGUCGGUGGUGCUCCAAACGAGAUGAGAGAGACAAGAAGUCGUAAAAAAGGAGAGACGGUAAGACAUGAUCAUAAUAAACCCUCUUCUCCUCCCCUACCUCCUCUGACAGUGCUGCUUGCUUCAUCUCUAAAUGCAUGUAUUUGCCUGUGUGUUCUUGCUAGCAUGCCUUUUCUUGCAUCCAUAUGUACGCUACCUUUCACUUCCUCACCUUAUUUUCUUGCUUUGCCCAUUUGCCUUGUUUUUUUUUCUGCUUCUCAUCUGUCCCUCUCCCUCUUCUCCCCUCACCCUCGCGCCUCACGCAGUCCAGGUAUCAUCGCUGUCGAGGUGCAGGCGAGAAACAUAAGGAGCACUACCACUAGGCGACCUGAGCGCGCGGAUCGAAAAGGAAGGCUCUCUGGUGUGUCUUUCGCCUACCACAUGCUUUUGCACAUAACAACAUCGAAGUCGCUUAGCACCCCUGCAUAUGCACACGCGUGUGUUUUCACGUCUGCUCGUGUGCUGUCUGCGGCUUUGAGGGAUUCUUUUCUCACACUGUGCCGUGCGUGCUGAUUGAUUCGUCACUUCCUUUGUUUUUUUUUGCUUUUCAAUGGUGUUCUUGUUUGGAUCCUGCAUACUGGACAGGCGUGUGUAUCUGCGUGUACAUAUACAUGUGUUAGUUUUGCGUCGCCACAGCCGCUUGAGUGCAACAUCUCUGUGAAGAAAAGGCGGAGACGGGGGAUGGAAAGAGCAGCGACAGCGAGACAACCAAAUAAGAUGCGGAUUGGAGACACAAAAAAAAAGCUCACGACACUUUUUUUUUCGUGUGUGCCCGCAGCAGAGACAAACAUGCCAUACUUGUGUGUAUUGUUGUAUGUGUGCGUGUGUGUUCCCUUCGUGUUUUUGGCUGCUCGCUCGUUCUCGACCCCCCCCCUCUCUCUCGCUCUCGCUCUCUCUGCGUUUUCUUUUUAUCUCCGGUGCUUGGUCGUUGUCGUCGUUGUGUUUUGUGUGUGCGUGUGUUUCUCCUUGCAGCCGCUUUAACUUCCUGAUAUGCCGCUCUUCCUCCGUAUGGGCGGUUUACUCCUUCGACCUCCCCUUCUCUCCUUCCCUCUUGUUUCCACCACUCUCCCCUCCCCUGUCCGUUCUCGUAUCUCUCCUCUCUUUGUUUCUCCUCCUUCCUCUUCCUCUUUUUGCUUUCCUCGUACUCUCCUCUCGCUUUCAUUUUUUUUCGCAUGCGUGGGCUGUGUUCUCUCGACCGAUCUCGCUCGCUCUGCUGCGCACUCUCCUCUCCUCUUCUCUCCUCCUCCGACUCUACUUUUCUGUCUUGUGUUCUUUGUGCGUUGUUUGUGUGUUCCCCCUUCCUGGGCGUGAGUGUGCGCGCGUGAUUAUAACUCGUAAGAAAAAGAAGGAAGAAGGGAAGGCCGUGUUUCGCGUGGUUGGAGCGUCCUUCCUUCUUUUGUGCAUAUGGCGCUCGUUUUGUUUCUCCUCUCUCCAGGUUGGAGGGUGUGAGGGGAUGUGUGAUAGACAUGAGCCCCUCUCUGUAGGCGCGUCAUGCGCAUGUGCAUGAGGACUGCGUUCGCAGCUGGCUCAAGCCGACGCACCGGAACCCUUCUGUGACAAGCUUACACGCAUUUAUGUCGAAUAACAUGCACGUAAGCAGACACACACACACGCACAUCAACCAAAACGCACGUAAACAGCGCAUGUGUCUAUACACACGUUAUCGUUCUUGGGCACACAAAGGAGCGAAGGGAGGAGAUGGUGGGCAUGUUGUGGUCAACUGCGAAUCUAUACAUCUUCUCUUCGUUCUGUGCUCUUGCUCACUCUUAAAUUGCCUCAGCACGCAGAUACAAGCAGGGAUGAGGGGAAGAAUAAAAAAAAAAGAUAACGAUUUCAGGAGAACGCAAGAAACUGGCAAAAUAUAAACCGCCCUUCUUUCUCUCAUUGUGUUUCGCUCGCUCGCACUUCGUCCCCACCCCACCCCAUCCCUUCACUCUUUCAGUGCUGCACGCACCUUAAAAUUUGGUAUCCAUGUAUUUCCCCCACCCCACCCCUCCCACCCCUUCCUCCCUCUCUUCGUAUAUCUUAUAAUCCUUCUGUUUCUUUCUUUGCUUUUCUCUUACUUUGUGUGCGUGUGCGUAUUCGGCCUUUUUUGUGUGCUCUCUUUUCUGUCCUUCUCGUUAUCUUCUUGUCGCUUGCAAUGGUUUUUUUCUUUUUUCUCAGUGGACUUGCCCCACUCUUGAAUAGUUAUAUUGAAUCGUCCGCUUUAUGAGUACAGCAUGUUGAUGCUGUCUCUUCCUCAAAAGUCAGACUCUUCCUCCUCCUUCCCCCUUCACAAUUCCGGGGCGUAUGCCCCCCCCGCUCCCCUCGUUUGGCGUUGCCGCGAGCCGGUAGUGGUGCAAUCGAAAAAAAAGGAGGAGGGUAAACGGACACCAGAUGACCAAAAGGCGCGCUCUCGGGUAGAGUACGCGAGCCUUGUAUGUGUGUAUGUGUGUGUGUGCUCCUGUGUAUCGUACAUCAGUGGGAGUGGUCGCUUACACAUCCGACAAGGGCAGCUGAAUAAGAAACUUGUACGAAAGGAAAAAAAAAAACAGGAGCGGAAGCGAGCACAAAACUACACGAAAGGCAAUAUCAGAAGGAAAAGAAACGAACAAAGAUAGGGAAAAGGCAUACCAACGCCACCAAGCGGCAGCACUCGCGGGACAUGGAGAGAAUAUAUGUGUAUGUGUUUGCAUGUCUGGGUCUUUCUAUACAUAUAUAUGUAUAUAUGUAUAUAUAUAUAUAUGUGUGGGAGUGUUUAAGUGUUUUUGUUUCCCCGAGGUCGCUGUAUAUUGCACCAGUGUCGCAGACUAAUGAAGGAAGGGAAGUCUUAUCAGGGUGAUGGAAUCACUACUCCACUGCUGCGCCUCUUCUACAUCACUUCCACAUACACACACAUCCUUUCAUCUCUACCUGCCACCGCGCCAUCUCAUUUUCUUGUCUUUUGUUUUUUUUUUUGACGCCGUCGGUGCUGCUGCUUUCUUUGAGCCGUGGUGUCUCUGAGAACAUCGACUUUGGAAUGGAAAUGCUCUGGCGCUCGCUCGCGAGGGCCUACGCCUCACCAACGAAAGCACAUAUGCAGUCUCACAUAUAUUCUGUGAGCACUUGUAAAAGACGGCGGUAGGCACGAAGAAGAAACAGAAAAUGGCACGCACACGCAGCGGAUAAGUGAAGCGGCGAAGCAACUCCGCGCCAAGGCCAGAGCGUUUGCACUGCAAUCGCUCGUGCCUCUCUCUGGUUUUUCCCCCAACUUGCUUCGCACGGUACUCCCUGUUGAUGCUUCUCUCUUGCCUCUCUGCGUACAUCUAUGUGUUUACUGGUUUCUUUUUCCCUUUUCUGAUCAUGUGUCGCAAGAAGAAAUCAAAAAGAAAGAAAAGGUGCCCAUGAUGCUAAGACUGUUUUUUAGCAUAUGUGUGUGUGCGCGCGCAAUAGCAAUACUCACGCUGAUGUUGUUUUACGUUUCUCAUUCUCGAGUGUUUCCCUGCUAUGACUGGUGCGGAUUUUUCUAUAAAAAAAUAUGAGACGACAAAAAAGGGGUGGGAAAGCGGCACUAGUGCUGUCUUCUCAUAUAUAUAUAUUCGGUCUGUCUGUCUUUCUGUUGGGUCUAUUGCAGUUUGUCUUGUGCUUUUUAUGUGUGCUUCUUUAUAUUCUUUUGUUUAUAUCGGAUACGCAGGUAUGUAUGUACAUGUGUGUAUGUAUGUAUGUAUAUAUAUAUAUAUAUGUAUUCCACUUCCAUUUCUUCCUAUUUUUUGUUUCGACAUACCUCUCUUUCUACUUUCGCCAUCCUUUUCCGCGCACAUCGAUAUGUGUAAAUAUAUAUAAACAUAUGUGCGCACGUGGUAUUGACGCCUUUCUGUCCCUACAUCGCAUAUAUAUAAUAUACAUAUUAUGUAUAUUAUAUAUAUAUAUAUACAUAUGCGUGUGUGUGUAUGCAUAUGUACAGGCAUCUGUCUAUACGGUAUAUCGCCGCGUCUCUGCAUUAGCUUUGGAGCUCACACACGCACGCGCGGCAAAUCACGAAGGGGAAGAAACGAGGGCGGAAACAAAAACUUUGACGCAUUCAUCUUUGGCAAGUGGAGCUCAUCGGUAGCGCACCUGCGAGACAAUGAGCCUCGGCUUACUCGAAGCAACGUGCAAAAUGGACAAAAAAAUUUAACAGGCCCCGCUUCGGCAAAGGCGAGCAAAAACAGAAUAUAUGUACAUAUAUCAAACAACAGAGAGCGCGAGUACGUUGCUCUUUCUCUCUUCUUCUUUUUCGCUUCUCCUUAGGUGUUCUCCUCGUGUUUCUAGACCUCCUCGCUGCGUAUGCGUCUGCCUAUAUCUCUGUUGUUCUCUCGAUCAAACCCUUUUGUUUAUGCCUGAGUGUGUGUGUGUGUGUGUGUGCAAGUCUUUCUUUUUCGUCUUCGCCUACAAAAGAGUGCUUCUCAUCUUCUGUUUGGUGCUUUAGCUUCUCUUUUUGGGGCGGUGACUUUCUUUGCAGGUGAAUGUUUGCGUGUGUAGGGGGAGGCUCAGGUGUCCUUUUCUAUACCCUUUCCUCUCCAUCCUGUCUAAUGCUUCGCCUAUCUCGUGACAAGUUGAAGUGAUGUGCUCCGUCUUCCCUUUUGUUCUCGGAGUGCUUGUGUGUGUAUGUGUCGUCUGGUUCUCGCUCCACCAACCCCCUUCUCGGUGAAGAACGAAUGUGGUGGUAUGUGAGCAUGAAAGAGAGACAGUGAUGUGUGAAUGAUUGCCCUCCGACUCCGACGUACCCUUAGGUCAUGGGCGCGCAUACUGGUGCAAGCCUGCACCCCCCACAACAUCACCACAACCCCAUCCCCUGGUAUAUGUUUUUGUGUGUUUCCUCUCUCUCUCGACUCCCACGGCAUGGGUCACCUGUUCCACCGAAGCGCUGCUCUUCGUUUCUGUUGCCGCUUGACCCUUCCUUCUCGUUUUUUAGUGUCUGCCUCUUCGCGACUUGCUGCGCUGUCGCUUUUUUUUUUCUAUCUCCUUUAUCUUCUUUGUAGAUGUGGCUCCCUCUUUUCUAUUAUGUUGUUUGUUCGCAGCAGCCGAAACACGUGGCUGUGCAUGGGUGAGAGAACGGUGGCCAAGGGAGAAUGUUGGCGCGUAAGUGAUCGGCCUACCUUAUUUCUCUUAUCAGCCGCCACUUUCUUUCUCCAUCCCUUUUUAUGUGUUUAAUAGCGAGUAUGUGCGACUUGUCUGUUUCCGUCUGACUUUUAUUUUCCUUCGGCUCUGACUUUUCGCGUGUCUUCCUCUACGCAACGGUUGGCACACUUGUUAAUUAGCUCUUUUACGAGGUAGCUGUCAUCAUCUUCUUUUUGUUUGUUCCACCUCUCACUUUCUCCAUGCAUGCAGGCGUCCUCUGCACCCUUUUCUUUCUCGUGGAAUCUUCUGUUGAAAGGAUGUAGCUCAGCCACCCACACACCCUCCCUCUCUCCGGGCCUCUGUGCCCUUUUUUUUACCGUCUAUGUGUGUGUGUGUGUGUACUUCCGACGGGCGCCACCUCCGGCCAAUGCCGUUUUUGCUCUUCCAACACUCUACCGUAUCUCACUCUGCCUCUUGGUUCACUUCUUCUCUAUUCCACAAUAAGGAGGCGCUCGCACAGACAUAUACUCAAGCCUGAAAGAAUCGCGAUGUGUGAUUCGACAAAGCCGGAAGGGUUGAAAAGGGGAGAGGGUGGAGGCAGUGAGGAUGCCAACUUCCAGGAGGUGAGUCGGCGAAGCGAAAGACGACGUCGUGUACGCGAAUGAAGUUGAAAGAGAGAAGGCACUUUCAAAGAUCUCGAAAAAAAAAAGAGGGGAAAGAGGCGCCUUGCCUGUCACGCUCUUCUUUGCAGGCCCCUCGCCGAGUAUGUGUACUUGAGCGCGGGCGGUGUCGACAUGUUCCUUUUUCUUCUUUCACAUAUGUUAUCCACUAACGCUUCAUACACCAUCUUUUGAUUUGGUGUUUCUUUCCCGAACGGCCGCUUGUCGACACGCUCUCUGUCUGUCUUUUUCUUCAUCGCUUUUUCAUGCCUCUCUUCCACAUGCUCCCUCUUUUUCUUGUGUUUGUCUGUGUGUUCCUUGAUCACCUGCAGCGCUUCAAGAUCAUUGCUCUCUCUAUUUCUCCUCCUCUGUGCAUGUGUGGCUUUCUUAGCGGGCGCUCGUGUUGAUGUGUGCCUGAGUGUGCGUGCCCUCCGUUUCCGUGCUUGUUUCUUCUCCCAGGCGGCGUCGAGGAGAAGGGGCAAUGCCAAGCAGACAAAAAAAAGGAAAACGCAGGUACAGUGCGCUUAGUACACACAAGAAUCAGACAAGGAACACGCUCACACAGAGAAGCAAGAAGACCAGCUGUGAGUUGUAGUGCCACUUGGUCGAUCUCGCUGUAGGUGUGUUUUUCUGUUCUCUCUUUGUGGGCAUGUGUUCGCGUUUGUGUGUAGGUAUGUAUGUGCGCGUGCGACUUCAUAUUUCACACUAAAAAAAAACUUCGCUUGAGCCUCUCGUCAUUUUGUUGUAACGUCUGAUUGAAUGAGGACUGCUGCCUGCCCGCCUGUACCACCUUUUUUUUGUCCUUCGUUUUCGUCGUUUCCUUAGGUUUGGCCUUGCUUUAUUUGUUCCGUUUCUUUCUGUUGCCCUCCUGCUCCUCCCUCCCUCCCGCUCCUCUCUGGUGGCCAUCUGUUGUUCUCGUGGUCUUGUCCUCCUCUCUCUUUCUCGCUUUUGUUCACGUCGAAAUCUUUUCUGUUGUUGUUUUGAGCGCUUUUUCAUUUCGAGUGUGUUUAGGCCUUUAUCAGAUAGCGUAUCUCGUCUGUCUUGCAUAAGUGUGCGCGUUUACGCGAAUCCCGUUGAUGCCGAUCGCUUGCCCUCUCGCUCUCUAUCCACUACCAUCACCACCUCGCGCGUAACACCAAUAAGGAAUUGAACGACACCAGAAGGCAAAUGAAAAGAAAUGCAAGAGAGCGAAUACUUGGGCCUGCGUAUUACCUGUUCUCCUUGUGUAUGUAUGUGUGUGUGCAUGGAUGUAUUACGUGCUUCUUUCCCUCCACCCCCACCCCAACCCCACCCACCCCAAGGGGCGGAGAGGCGGUAGAGACGGCACCAACGACCUUCUUUCACUCGCAGUUUCCUCUCUUUUCCUCUUGUCAAAGGGGAUGGGAUGCGUGCAGUUGAACGUGCGGAUACAUAUGGCCUUCAUAGCGAGAAACACAGAAGGGUAGACGCGCACACUCAAGUCUACCACGCACACGCUUGCUUUUUUCUCUCUUACUUCUCUGCGUCUCUCAGCUCUCCUUUUCCGUUUUUCUUCUUAACGCGCGCGCGCUCUCGGCAAUGGUCAACCGACUCGUGUAUUUUUUUGUUGUUGCUUUUUGUGCUCCUGUUUUCUGCUGUGUGUAUAUGCUUCUCUUCUCUUUCUGCAUCGUUUCUCUCUUGCUUUUCAUCGUUUUUCCAUGUGUUUCUCUGCUCCUCCCCCCUCUUUGCCGUGGCCCUCUCUCCACCUACACGCACGUACACACCGCAACGGCCACCCUUUCAAGUAUCUUUGGUCUACCUUGUCUUUCUUUCUCUGUGUGUGAGUGCAUGCGUGCGGGUGUGCUUUUUUGCCCACGUCGAUGUUGCCUUCUGUUUUCCUUUUUUUUUCGGUUUUCCGUCGCCUUUGGUUGUUUUGUACGUGUGCCUGUGUACUCCAUUACGUUUUUUUUGUUUUUCGUUUUACAUAAUCCGUCGUUUUCUCUCUCUCUCCCCCCCGCUUUAAUCUGGUCUUACAGAUUUCGGUGUGUGUGUUGGUGCUCUGACAACUCUUGUCUAAAAAUACGCAUGCUGGGCUGCCUACCUCCUGUUACUCUGCGCUUUUCCCUUUCCUUCUCCCAUUUUUUCGAAGCCGUUGUGCAAGGAUAUGUGUGUUUCUUAUGCGAGAUGGACCCUGUCUCCACUUUCUGUAAACUCCCAUCUCUCUAUUCUCCAUCCUUCAACAGGUUUAUGUGUUGUGCAAUCACAAUUUCUAAUGCAUGAUCACCGCUCUCUGCGCUACCUCGACCUCCGCCCACCCCUCCCACACACCUCCUCUCUCUUGGCAUGCGCCUUGCCGUCGCUGUGCGAGAGCCGCGGAGGUCCGAGAUGUACGAGUACAAAUUCGGAAAAAGCGAAUGAGUCUGAAUCGUGUUUCCUAUUGACUUCGUUUUCCACGUUUCUCUCCUGUUCUCCGUUCGGCUUGUCCUUUUUUUUUGGUUUGUUUUACUCAUUUUCUUGUUUUCCUUGUCGUGAAGGCUCUCAUUGUCCACGUUUUUCGUCGCUCUUCGUUGCUGUUUCUUUCGUUUGGGAGGGGGGUGUUGUUUCUGUCCCCUCGAUCUUUUUCUCUUCACCACAUUUUUGUGUGUUCAUGCCACUUUUAUCUGUAUUGCCCAACACUCUCUCCCACUCUCCCACACUCUCCUUCCCUAUCUGUCUUGCCCUUGCAAUUUUUUUCGUUGUUCCUGCCCCUUUUUUUUCGGUUUCUUCCUUUCCUGGCCUUGCUCGUCCCUUCUCCCUCCUCCUCAUCUCGCUUAUUUGUUUGCGCUGAGAAAUGAUUUUGUUCGCGCUGCACAGCGAUUUUUGACGGAGGAAAAGGAGGAAGGUUGGCGAUCUUCGUUCUUUAUCUUCUCGGCUUUCUAGCGCUCUCGCUCUGUGUUUGUGUACGAAUUUGCCCAUGCCACUCCUUGUCCAUUGCAUGUUUGUGCCUUUUUUAUAUUUCUUUGCCCGUACGUGCGUGCGUGCGGUGUUCGUUUUUUCCCGAGUGAGCUCUCGCGCGCCGAGUUACGUGUACUCUGAAAGCACACGAAUAAAGUGUACUCCACAGCCCAUCUCUCCCUUCACUCAUGUCUAAAACUGCGCAUGCCUCUUGUCGUCGCUUUUCCCUUUCCUUUUCCGCCGAUCGAGUGCUUCGUCUUCUCUCGAAAGGUGCUCCCUCUGUCUGUGAAGCGUGCGGGGCCACCGAAACCCUAAGCGAACUACUUCUCCGUUUCGUGGCCCCGUUCACUGAGAGUGCGCAUGUGAGGAGCGUGAGUACGGGUCAUGGUAUCUGCUUCUUGGCCUGUUUCUGUCCUUGCGACAUCACACCCCCUCCCUCGCACUGCCACACACACACACACACACACGUACACAAAUCAUGUCUCUUCCACUCUCUCUGUCUGUUUCUUUUCUUUGGUGUGUAUCUUCGCCUUUCCCCUUGCCAUUUUUCACGUUUGCCUCCUCUUUCAAUCUUUCUCUCCUCUCCUCUCUUCUCCUGUACGCCACGCUCUCAACCGCGCAGGUGUACCCCCACAUCUGUUGCCUGUGUGUCUCUCUUCUCUUUUUUUUUCUUUCACGGAAGACGGAUUCAAACUCGAAGAAGGGAAAGGUGAACCAAAGGACGCGACAACCAGCCAAAAACGAAAACGAGUGUGCUCUUUGUCCAUGUGUUUUCCUGUUUGUGUUACUUUCUUCUGUGAAUGAUGGUGCCGAUGACUCGAGAGAGAGCAGUAUGCCUCGUAUUCCCCCUUACCUCACGCUCUAUCCAAACGCGACCUCUUUUCCUCUGCUAUUAGCAAGCAGCUAUGUUUCCCCCUGAUAUAUAAUACGUAUGUGCGUGUGUGUGUGCUGUGUGUGCCGUUGACGUUGCCUCCCUUUUUUUUUUUGCUGUUCUCUUUUGUUUUUUUCGGUUUUGGUCUUUUUCCCCCUCUUCUCCCUCCUACUUCUCUGUCAUUUUUUUUUCCUUUCUGUCCACACACCCACUCACUCCUACAACUAUUCUGGCUCAUUCGAGGUGGCGCGUGAAGGCGAAGAGUCGGCCUUCUCGUUUGCCCUCUUCUGUUUGUUUCGCCUCCCUCCCUGUCUGUACCUCUCGCUGCUGCACUCCGAGGUGAACCUCGCCUUCUAGUCACUGGGCGCCCAUGAGCCUGUGCCUGCCGCUGACAUCUUUUUUUCACCUCAGCUGGCCUCCACUCCUCCCUCAUAAGCUGUUGGUAGCUCUGUCCGCUGGCCAAGUGUGUUCGGAGCAUGGCCACAAGCAAUGCGCACGAGAAAUCGAAUCGCACCUGUGCUCGCGAAAGAGAUGAUGAUGCGAGGGUUAUUAGGAAGGGAAAGAAAGGUGAGCAGAUGUUUACGCGCGCAAGCGUGGAUGUCUUGAUGAAGUACACAACGGAGUGGCAGCGGCGGCAGAGGAAGAGGGAAAGGCGUACCGAAUUUUUGAAAAGAACAAAGUGAGAUCGUCUCUUCUCUCGCGGUUGUAUCUCUUUCGCUUUUUUCUUUUGUUCUUGUUCGUGCUGCUGUUCUUCACAUCAGGUGUUUACCUGGAUGUGCCGACGCUCUCCUGCUCACGUGCUGGUGCUUCUUUUUUUUUGUCGUUCCUUCGUUUUUGUUCUCCGGUCCAUGCGUGUCUGUUGCUACUUGGAUCUUGUCUCCCUAUCGCUUCUCCUCUGCGCUCGCCAGGAAUAGCUGCGCUAUCAACACGCCUACGCACGUGCACAAUCACACAUAGACACACAGUCUCUUUUCUGUCUGCUGCUUUGUUUUCUUCUACUUCAUGAGCAGUGCAGAAAUGACGGGCAUGAAGUAGGUGAGAUGCGCGCUUUUCUGGUUGCCCCCCCCUCCCUUCCUCUUUGUUUCUUUUUUCAGACCCUCUCUUGCUUUUUUUGCCGUGUCCCCACCCUCUCCAGCCCACACCCACCCACACACACACAACACUCCAUUGAUGCACGGGGUCAUCUUUCUGCGACAAAAACGUGCUUUCCCUUCUGUUUUAUUUCUUUUUUGUUGUUCGUUCGGCUCCCUUUCGCCUUCUGUACUUUUUGUUUGAUAUCUUUGUCGUUCUUUCUCUCUUCAAAUGUUUGAUCCUGUUUUCCCUGCUUUUCACACACACACACACACCACUCCCGAUCUUCUUCUCCGCCUUCCUACUCCUCCUACCCUCCCCCCCCACUCUCGUUCUUCCCCUUUCCCUACCGUCACGGUUUGUACGCCACCCUUUGAGAAAGACAACAACAAUAACAAAGCAGCAGCAGCAGCAGAGCUUCUCCUCUUCCCUCUCAGUUUUCCUUUUAGGAUUUUCUUGUAGUUUUUGAGUCUUUCGGUUUUUGUAUUUCUUUUUUCGGAGGGGGCCCUGCUGGAUUUGAGUGUCGAGCAAUCCUUGUUUGCGUUUUCUCUUCCUGCGCCUCUCGUUUUUUUUUUCAUCUGUCACCUGGAUGUCUUCUGUAUUGCGUUCACGCACAUGUUUGUGUUUGUGUUUGUGUGAUUAUGUGUAGCACUGUGCAAGUGUUCUUUGUUGUUGCUCGUCUUUUUUUUAUUGGUUCGGCGAGUUAGGAGGGCACGCGUAUCGCUCGUAUUUGUGAAGCGUAUGCUUCCAUUUCUCUGCUCGCACGCGCACACACACAUACAAAUGUACACUGGAUCAACUCUUCGAGUCUCCUCGUGUGAUCCGCGCGUGUACAUUUCUUUCUUUGGCUUUGCACGCCUGUUUUUUUUUGUUUUGUUUUGUUUUUCGUCUCUCCCUCUUCCCCUCUUACGUCCCAGCAGCGAACAUACAUGCUCUAAGCAGCAAGACAACAUAUUUAAGCGACCGAGAAAGAGGCUCAACCGGCAGAAAGACGCGUACAAGAGAAGGAAAAGAUGGUGCAGCUCCUCUUUUUCUUCGUUUCCGGUGCUGAGCGUGCUUUUUCGUCAUGGUUUUUGUGUCGUUCUCUCUCUCACGCACAGGCUCUGCUUCGCUUCUUGUUUGUGCGGGACUUUACACAUGUUCAUGUGUUGUUGUUUCCUGCUUGCUUCUCCCCCCUUUCGUUGCUCACCACCCACCCACCCUCGCCCAUCUCUUCCGCGUACCAGCAUGCGCGCCGAGUUUGUCCGCGCGCGUGGGUGUGUCGCUCUGUCUGUAUUUCGGUUUACUUGUGUUCGGCUCCCUUCCUCUCUCACCCCCCCCCAAUCCGAGAAGAGAAAUGACCGGCGCAGCACGCGCGCUCCAAUGACACAUUCACGUCUUUUUCACCUUGUCCUCCGCGUUAAGACCAUUCAAAAGGGAGAGAGGUAGAGGGAGAGGUUGAUGUGGAGAGCGGGGCACGCGCGCGACAGAGGCUGCUGCAGCCCCCCCCUCCUUCUUUGCACUCGAAGGUGCGUGCUGGACCUCUUCGGGCGCGUGCCGCUCAUCUGCUUCUAAGAAUGUGUGUGUGUGUGUGUGUGUGUGUGUGUGCGUGCCUCCCCCUUACCUGUUCUUAUUCUAUUUCCAUAAUGAUGAGCGGCCGAGAAGCGACUCUGCAGGACGACGGGCUGUGUGUGUACGUGUGGCGUUGUCACAUUUUGUUCCUUCUACGGUCGUGCCGUACUCCUUCACGCUUCUCUCCUCUCCUCUCGUCCCCCCUCCGCCCGCCCUGAACCUUUCUUGGCCUGGGCUGGCGAUGCAUUUCAGGCAUUCAGGAUUGACUCCGCGUCUUUCUAUGCCUCACCUCCCCCCCGCACAAUAUGCUGUGUCAGCAUUCUGCUCUGAGCAGUGGAUGAGCACGUACUUAAGGCUCUCCGCUCUCUUCUGUGUGCUUUGCUCUUUGCUGGAGCGUGCAUGUAUGGGUGUGCUUGUAGUCUUCUACCUCUUUCCCUCCUCCACACGCACUACACCUGCCGGCACAAUCACGGAAAAAAAAAAAACCUACACGGCGCGCACGCAAGUACGCAGGUUUCUGUGAGCAACGCAGUCGCUUACUUGCGCGCAUCCGUGCGUGGGGGGGGGGGGGGAAGACGGCUGCUUUUCAUGAUUUUUUUUGUAUUUUUGUAUGUCCUUUCCGUGUGCGUCUUAUCCACGCAAACAAAUACAACCAAAAAAAAAAGAACGGAUUCAAUGCAACUUUCGAACGGGGUGUGUGGGUGUGUGUGUAUGGGUGGGUGGGCUCAUGCCUGCCGCCUGCCUGCGUUUUCGUCGACCGUUUCCGGAGAUGCGUAUGAGCAGUUCUCUCUCCGUUCUUGUGAUGCUUUUUUUUCUUCUCCGUGUUGAAACGAAAGAGUGGUGCGAGGGCUAGCAAGCUAUGCGUAGCGAACCAGCGGAAUGGCGGAAAAAAACGUCCAUUGAAACGGCUUAAACUGCAACGAUGGGUGUGUGCGCGCUGCCACUGUCUGUGUGCGGUUGCUUAUUUCUUCCUUUUCUCUCGUUCUCAUAGCCUGGUUUUGCUCGGUAUCACACCACCUUUCCUCUGUUUUUUUUUUCGAUUUUCAGGUAGGUACGCUGUUCGUAUUGCAGCAAUCGGCAAUGUUGUGUGUAUGCGCGUUGCCUGCGCCUUUCCAGUUUUGCCGUGUGCGUGUAGUGACAGGAAGACGGGAUUAUGCAGGGCUCGAACUGCGCCGUGUCGGCUUCCUUUUCUUCUUUUUUUCCGAACGUACGUGUACGUUUACGAGAUAAACUGUCAGGAGAGGGGAAGUGUGAGAGCGGUCUGUCUCAUCGCUACAAGGCAUGUAGAAGGCGAAACAGAAAAAUGUUUUUGCGCGCACACUGAGAAGUCGUUCUUCUGCAUAUGUAGAGGUUGUCGCGUUGUCUUCCCUGCCCUCCUCCCUCAUUAUUGUUUCAGGUGUCUAGACCACACACCCGCCCUGCCCCCUCUACCUUCCGGACCCCACGCAAGCACUUCGAGGUGCUUUUCUUCUUUUCGAUUUGCUUUGUUUUCUUUGCGCACCUGUCUUUGGCACCAUGUUCUUCAAUGGCAGGAGCGCACGCACGCGCUCAUCUCCUUCCCCGCUCCUCUUGUGUACCGCAUCUCCCAUAGUGGGAACGACCACUUGAAUGCCAAGCAAAGAGUGAAUUUGGCUGGGAUAGGCAUGUCUGUCUGUGUGUGUGUGUGUGUGUGUGUGUGCAGAAAAGGGAGAGAUGCGCCAACUUCGCUGGCUUUUGUUUUGUCGUUUCUUUCCUCCUCUCCUUUUCCUUCGCUCUCCUCUCUUUUCUACGUUCCAUCAAAAGGCUGCACAUUUUUUUUUCUCGCUCCCCCUCCCCUCUCUUCAUCCUCUGGCUCCUUUUCUUGCUCCCAUUGUCGUGGAGCUGUUUGGGAGUGCUUGACUUGCCCUCUCGCUCCCGCUCUCGUCAUCUCCCUCUCCCGCUCUUUCGAGUGACUUUUCAAUCGAGAUGCGGCAGUUCGCCGUUUGCAUCCUGCCCACUCUCACUCUUGCUCACCAGCUCCACCUCUCCGGGACCCUCCCCCUUCCUUUUCUCCCUUCUUGUCUGUAUCUCAUUCCCGCAUCCUUCUACUUGUGCUGUACUUGAUCGCUUUCUUUGUUCCAGCGUGGAGCUCCUUCCGUUGCCACUACCGGCUUUCUCUCGUGCUCGUUCCCCUCUUUUUCUUUCCCUCUCCAUUCUAUUUCCCCCAUACUUACACCCACGCACGCACACGCACCUCUGCCCUGCCCUAGCCCUUACUUCUUUCUCAAACUAUCCUUCAUCGGCUUCUAGCGCGUCGCACCGAAGGGCAGAGGAGACGCAGGAACAAGCUAGUGGACGAUCAGAAAGAGAGUGGAAACCAAAAAAAAGAGGUGUAGAGGAGAUAAAAAGGAGAAGUAAAACGGCUUCGAGCGCACGCUUCCUACACAAAACAAAAUUUCACCAGAUUGAUUGGUGGCAGCGUGUGAGCGUAUGAGAGACAGAGGCAGAGAAGCGUCAGUCUCUGUGUAUCUAAUUGUCUGGACUAGUGGCCAUAGCUGAAGAAAGGCUCUCACUACGUGGCUCAAGGUUUGGAUGUGUAUGUGUGGGUAGGUGUUUCGAUCAGUGAAAAGAACACGAGCGCAACAAAAAAAAAAGUCUAUCGCACCCCCGAGCUCAUUUAUGCACCUGGAUCUCCACCUUUCGCUCUCUCGACGCUCACCAUCACCACCACGACCACGGCCACGACGACCACCACCACCGCCGUACAUGUAUGCUUGACCUUUUUCCUUACGGCCCAUUUGCUCGCCAGCGCCUUUCUCUGAAUGAAUUUUUUUCUUUGUUUACUUUUGAGGCCUCCUCGAAUGCUCUUAACCGGUCGAUGUAUUACUUUUUUUGUCGCUCGCUCUCUCUCUCCCCCAUCUACAGUCCUUCGGCAUUCUUCGUUGUGUGUGUGUGUGUGUGUGUGUGUGCUUCUUUUUUCUUUCUUUUCCGUGAUUUUUUUUUGGGAGAGACGUGAGGGGCCGCUCUGUUAGCGAAGCAUGAGUAAGAAGAAAAACGAAGGGGCAGGCAGCUAAGCUACUCCGCAUGAAGGCACAUGGAGUUGCGUGUAGGAAAAAUAUGUCUGCUUCUCCGCAAGCAUUCGCUUUCCUGAAACCCUACGCUUUUUUGUGCUCUCUUACGCACGCACCAUUCCCAUUCUUAUGAGUGUGUGGCCGGCGUCUCUGGGCUUUCCUUUCUCUCUCCCGCACACACACACACACAACUGUUCCUCCAAACAGGCUUCUUCUGUUUUUUUUUUGUUUCGUCUUUGCGCCUUCCCACUUUCCUUCUCUCUGUGCGUGAGUGUGCGUGCGCAAGUGCGGGCACUUCUCUUGCUCUCCCCCCCACUAUGUUCGACCUUCUUUUGUCGCUCACCACGUCUGCUGUUGCUUCGCCUCCUCUCUGUUCAUUGGUUUUACCCUUCUGCGACACUUGCUCUGCGUUGCGUUCACGUGUGUGUGUGCGCACACCUCUCGGUGUCUCCGUCCUCUACUUUUGAUCUUUGUUUUUCGAUUUCUUGGUUCCUUCCCGUCGUUCCCCUCGCCCCCACUUCCACUGUUCGACUCUCUUUCUCUUUUUUUCUGUAUUGUACUUUUCCAUGUCUGCCCUGCCAAUCUCAUUUUUCCUCGUUUUCUCGCUCUCUGGUUUCAUGUAAUGCAAACUCGCGCGCGAACGCGUGUGUAUGUGUGUGUGUGUGUUGUUUGUGCGCUCGCGGGUUUGUUUGCUCUUCAGCAGGUGCGUUCUGCUUGCCCUCGCAGCAUGCCGUGCACAUUAUUAAAAUUUAAAACACGG